rnacentral:rRNA from 1 species
UACGUAGGGGGCAAGCGUUGUCCGGAAUCAUUGGGCGUAAAGAGCGUGUAGGCGGCUCGGUAAGUCCGCUGUGAAAGUCCAGGGCUCAACCCUGGAAUGCCGGUGGAAACUGUCGAGCUAGAGUCCGGAAGAGGCGAGUGGAAUUCCUGGUGUAGCAGUGAAAUGCGUAGAUAUCAGGAGGAACACCGAUGGCGAAGGCAGGUCUCUGGGCUGACACUGACGCUCAUGCACGAAAGCGUGGGGAGCAAACAGG